rnacentral:rRNA from 1 species
ACGGAAGGUCCAGGCGUUAUCCGGAUUUAUUGGGUUUAAAGGGAGCGUAGGCGGACCUUUAAGUCAGCUGUGAAAUACGGCGGCUCAACCGUCGAACUGCAGUUGAUACUGGAGGUCUUGAGUGCACACAGGGAUACUGGAAUUCAUGGUGUAGCGGUGAAAUGCUCAGAUAUCAUGAAGAACUCCGAUCGCGAAGGCAGGUAUCCGGGGUGCAACUGACGCUGAGGCUCGAAAGUGCGGGUAUCAAACAG